GCAGCCUCCAACAACAAUUAGGCUUCUUUCUUCUAAUCUUACCAACCCUCUUCUGUUUCACUCACUAUAUAUAAAAACAUAUUUAUUCCAUCGCCCAAAUGAAGUUUCAUCGUCCACUUGAAAACCCAACUUUGAAAUUGCUUAUAGAACCCACCAAAUGACUGCUGCUUCAUCUUCUUCUCUAUUGGGUUCAUCAAGAAUUGGUUCAGGACCUACCAUUUCUGGACUUCAUUCAGAUUCACUCAACCCCACAUCAAUCUCCUUCUCUUCUAACCUACAAGGUCUCUCUCUAAGAUCUUCAGGGGCAAAGAGACAGCUAUACUCACGUGGAACAGGUUCAGUUGUCAUAGCACAGAACAUGGACAGAGUUGAGGUUGAUCUCUCUCUCAGCCCCAGGGUAAAUUCAGUAAAGCCUUCAAAAACGGUUGCUAUAACUGAUCAGGCAACUGCCCUCGUGCAAGCUGGUGUACCUGUUAUUAGAUUAGCAGCUGGUGAACCUGAUUUUGAUACUCCAGCCCCAAUAGCAGAGGCUGGCAUAAAUGCAAUUCGUGAAGGUCAUACCAGGUAUACACCAAAUGCAGGUACAAUGGAACUUCGGUCGGCUAUUUGUCAUAAAUUAAAAGAGGAGAAUGGGUUAUCAUACACUCCUGAUCAGAUUGUGGUAAGCAAUGGGGCAAAACAAAGUAUUGUUCAGGCAGUGCUUGCAGUUUGUUCUCCAGGGGAUGAGGUUCUUAUUCCAGCUCCCUAUUGGGUGAGUUACCCUGAAAUGGCAAGGAUGGCAGAUGCAAUGCCUGUGAUUCUUCCGACCAGCAUAUCCGAAGAUUUUCUAUUAGAUCCAAAGCUUCUUGAAUCUAAACUGACUGAAAAGUCAAGACUUCUGAUUCUUUGUUCUCCAUCCAACCCAACAGGGUCUGUUUACCCUCGGAAAUUGCUUGAGGAGAUUGCUGAGAUUGUGGCUAGGCAUCCGAGGCUUCUUGUGAUAUCAGAUGAAAUUUACGAACACAUUAUUUAUGCACCAGCAACUCAUACCAGCUUUGCAUCUUUGCCUGGUAUGUGGGAUAGGACUCUCACUGUAAAUGGUUUCUCUAAGGCCUUUGCGAUGACUGGUUGGAGACUUGGCUAUAUUGCUGGUCCUAAACACUUUGUUUCUGCAUGUAAUAAGUUACAGAGCCAGUUCACGUCAGGUGCAAGUAGCAUCUCACAAAAAGCAGCUGUGGCUGCUUUGGGACUGGGCUAUGCUGGUGGAGAAGCAGUUGCAACUAUGGUAAAAGCAUUUCGUGAGCGGCGAGAUUUCCUUGUCAAGAGCUUUGGGGAAAUUGAUGGUGUCAAAAUUUCAGAGCCUCGGGGAGCAUUUUAUCUAUUUAUUGAUUUAAGCUCUUAUUACGGAGUAGAGGUUGAUGGAUUUGGCACCAUCAACAACUCAGAAUCUCUUUGCCGAUAUUUGCUGGAUAAAUCUCAAGUUGCGCUUGUCCCCGGGGAUGCAUUUGGGGAUGACACAUGUAUCCGUAUCUCCUAUGCAGCAUCGCUUUCGACCUUGCAGGCAGCUGUGGAGAGAAUCAAGAAAGCAUUGGUUACUCUCAGACCUCCUGUCCCAGUGUAAAACAUGAAUUACUAAUAUUUGCUUAUUUGGGAUGUGCUACAGCCAAACAUGCAUAAAUAAUAUGUAGUCUGACCCAACCCUCCAUGUUCUCUCAUUUUAUGUAUUCUUAAGUGCAUUCCUGUACACUGACAUUGUUAAUUUGUG
rnacentral:misc_RNA from 1 species